CGGGGAUAGGGGUCGUGAUGGGGGUUUCCGACGGCUGGAAGCCGAGCAACAGUAGUUCAGAGCACCGUUUCCACCCCCGCCAGUCUCAUAUGCUCAGACGAGAAAACUGACGCUCCCGGAGGAAGAGACUUCUCAUAAUCACUCAGCGAGAAACUCCCAAGACCAGCGCGCUUUCCCCACGACUCCUCAGAGCGGAGGGACAACACCUGGGGGAGUUUGCUCCUCCUGAGGGGUCCCUGAGGCUUAGCUGCUCAUCCCAGAGGUGCCGAGAAGAGGGUUUCAAAUGGAGCAAAGGGAAAAAGAUGGAAUCAGAAACAAAAACAAAUAAAAGAAAUGACUGUUAACUCGUACUCCCAUGUAAGUCAAAUCAAGUUCUGUGUAUGUGUUUCUCACAAAAGUACAUUUCACAUUCUCAUAGCAAAUGAAACAUGAAACACUGGAGAGGCUCCCAUG